rnacentral:rRNA from 1 species
AUAUCAAUAAGCGGAGGAAAAGAAACAACAGGGAUUGCCUCAGUAACGGCGAGUGAAGCGGCAACAGCUCAAAUUUGAAAUCUGGCCCCCCGGCCCGAGUUGUAAUUUGCAGAGGAUGCUUCGGGCGCGGUGCCUUCCAAGUCCCCUGGAACGGGGCGCCGGAGAGGGUGAGAGCCCCGUACGGUUGGCGGCCAAGCCUGUGUGAAGCUCCUUCGACGAGUCGAGUAGUUUGGGAAUGCUGCUCUAAGCGGGAGGUAGACCCCUUCUAAAGCUAAAUAUAGGCCAGAGACCGAUAGCGCACAAGUAGAGUGAUCGAAAGAUGAAAAGCACUUUGAAAAGAGGGUUAAACAGCACGUGAAAUUGUUGAAAGGGAAGCGCUUGCGACCAGACGUGCGCCGGGGUGCUCAGCGGGCGUUCUCGCCCGUGCACUCGCCCCGGCGCAGGCCAGCGUCGGUUCGCGUGGGAGGAUAAAGGCGCCUGGAAUGUGGCUCCCCCGGGAGUGUUAUAGCCAGGCGUGCCAUGCUCCCCUGCGGACCGAGGUACGCGUUCUGCAAGGACGCUGGCGUAAUGGUCCCCAGCGACCCGUCUUGAAACACGGACCAAGGAGUCGAGGUUUUGCGCGAGUGUUUGGGUGUUAAACCCGCACGCGUAAUGAAAGUGAACGUAGGUGGGAGCUUCGGCGCACCACCGACCGAUCCUGAUGUUUUCGGAUGGAUUUGAGUAAGAGCGUAGGGCCUCGGACCCGAAAGAUGGUGAACUAUGCUUGGAUAGGGUGAAGCCAGAGGAAACUCUGGUGGAGGCUCGCAGCGGUUCUGACGUGCAAAUCGAUCGUCAAAUCUGAGCAUGGGGGCGAAAGACUAAUCGAACCAUCUAGUAGCUGGUUACCGC